ACCCGCUGAACUUAAGCAUAUCAAUAAGCGGAGGAAAAGAAACCAACAGGGAUUACCUCAGUAACGGCGAGUGAAGCGGUAACAGCUCAAAUUUGAAAUCUGGCUCCUUCGGAGUCCGAGUUGUAAUUUGUAGAAGAUGCUUUGGGUUGCAGGUUCGGUCUAAGUUCCUUGGAACAGGGCGUCAUAGAGGGUGAGAAUCCCGUCUGCGGCCGUGACCUGUGCCCGUGUAAAGCUCUUUCGACGAGUCGAGUUGUUUGGGAAUGCAGCUCAAAAUGGGUGGUAAAUUUCAUCUAAAGCUAAAUAUUGGCCAGAGACCGAUAGCGCACAAGUAGAGUGAUCGAAAGAUGAAAAGCACUUUGGAAAGAGAGUUAAACAGUACGUGAAAUUGUUGAAAGGGAAGCGCUUGCAACCAGACUUGGGCGUCGUGGAUCAUCCGAGGUUCUCCUCGGUGCACUCGACGACGCACAGGCCAGCAUCGGUUUGGAUGGCUGGAAAAAGGCCCUAGAAAUGUAGCUCCUCGCGGGGAGUGUUAUAGUCUAGGGCGUAAUGCAGCCCAUCUGGACCGAGGACCGCGCUUCGGCUAGGAUGCUGGCGUAAUGGUUGUAAGCGACCCGUCUUGAAACACGGACCAA
rnacentral:rRNA from 1 species